rnacentral:rRNA from 1 species
CCUACGGGAGGCAGCAGUGGGGAAUAUUGGACAAUGGGGGGAACCCUGAUCCAGCGACGCCGCGUGAGUGAAGAAGUAUUUCGGUAUGUAAAGCUCUAUCAGCAGGGAAGAAAGACAUGACGGUACCUGACUACUACGCCCCGGCUAAAUACGUGCCAGCAGCCGCGGUAAUCCGUAGGGGGCAAGCGUUCUCCGGAUUUACUGGGUGUAAAGGGAGCGUAGACGGCGAUGCAAGUCUGGAGUGAAAGGCGGGGGCCCAACCCCUGGACUGCUUUGGAAACUGUAUGGCUGGAGUGCAGGAGAGGUAAGUGGAAUUCGUGGUGUAGCGGUGAAAUGCGUAGAUAUUAGGAGGAACACCAGUGGCGAAGGCGGCUUACUGGACUGUAACUGACGUUGAGGCUCGAAGGCGUGGGGAACAAACAGGAUUAGAUACCCGGGUAGUC